GUAUACCAUUCGCGAUCAUGUUUGUUCGCGAUAGAUAGGAUUUCAUUGCGAUGCCACGACACGGCCUGUUCUAUACUCGACCGCGCAGAGUUUAUGCAAAGCCUUCCUCGGUUAGAGGAGAGUAGUGUCUUCGAGAUCUCAGAAUACCUGGCGAUCCCGUGAGCUUCUUCCCAAGUCCCGCAAUCGGGUCCAAGGACGCCGAGUUUAGCAGCGCGGCAAUGUUUCUGGACAUGGUACGGAGGAUUAUGUCGCAUGGAGAGGUUCAGUAAGAACGGAUUCUUCUCGGUCCAUUCAGCUUAUCAUAUGGAGUGGGAGUCACAAGUUUGGGAAUAAUCCAAAGAAGACUAGAUGGUACAGGCUUGGCAAGUCAAGACCCUAUGUUGGGAUGAGGUAUGGAAUGCAAACAACCAGCUAAAAUUAAAAUAUUUGCUUGGAAAUGUCUGCAUGCUAUUCUCCCCCUACCUAUGCUCCUUUGGCAAACCGGCAUGUAAUCACAAAUAGUUCAUGUACGUCGUAUGGUGGUGCAUUUGAAGACAUAAAACACACCUUGUUUCUUUGUGGAGGAGCAAAGGAAGUUUGCAAGAAAAUGAAAUUAUGUAAGCUAGUAAAAUAAGUGUGUGCUAUAGAUCGAGCUCGAAUU